CCCCUAGUAGCGGCGAGCGAAGCGGGAAGAGCUCAAAUUUAUAAUCUGGCACCUUCGGUGUCCGAGUUGUAAUCUCUAGAAAUGUUUUCCGCGUUGGACCGCACACAAGUCUGUUGGAAUACAGCGGCAUAGUGGUGAGACCCCCGUAUAUGGUGCGGACGCCCAGCGCUUUGUGAUACAUUUUCGAAGAGUCGAGUUGUUUGGGAAUGCAGCUCAAAUUGGGUGGUAAAUUCCAUCUAAAGCUAAAUAUUGGCGAGAGACCGAUAGCGAACAAGUACCGUGAGGGAAAGAUGAAAAGCACUUUGGAAAGAGAGUUAACAGUACGUGAAAUUGUUGGAAGGGAAACGCUUGAAGUCAGACUUGCUUGCCGAGCAAUCGGUUUGCAGGCCAGCAUCAGUUUUCCGGGAUGGAUAAUGGUAGAGAGAAGGUAGCAGUUUCGGCUGUGUUAUAGCUCUCUGCUGGAUACAUCUUGGGGGACUGAGGAACGCAGUGUGCCUUUGGCGGGGGUUUCGACCUCUUCACACUUAGGAUGCUGGUGGAAUGGCUUUAAACGACCCGUCUUGAAAACACGGAACAA
rnacentral:rRNA from 1 species